rnacentral:rRNA from 1 species
AGGGUUUGAUCCUGGCUCAGAACGAACGUUGGCGGCAUGGAUUAGGCAUGCAAGUCGGGGGAAUCCCAGCAAUGGGGGAACCGGCGUAAGGGGCAGUAAUGCGUGGGUACCUACCUCGGGGUUCGGGAUAGCCAUCAGAGAUGGUGGGUAAUACCGGAUGACGUAGUGAUACCAAAGAUUUAUCGCCCUGAGAGGGGCCCACGUGAUAUUAGCUAGUUGGUGAGGUAACGGCUCACCAAGGCGAAGAUGUCUAGCGGGUGUGAGAGCACGACCCGCGCCACUCGCACUGAGACACUGGCGAGACACCUACGGGUGGCUGCAGUCGAGGAUCUUCGGCAAUGGGCGAAAGCCUGACCGAGCGAUGCCGCGUGCGCGAUGAAGGCCUUCGGGUUGUAAAGCGCUUUAGUGGGGGAGAAAAGCCCGCAAGGGUGUGAUCUAUCCCAAAAAUAAGCUCGGGCUAAGUUCGUGCCAGCAGCCGCGGUAAGACGAACCGAGCGAACGUUGUUCGGAAUCACUGGGCUUAAAGGGCGCGUAGGCGGGCUGUCAAGUCUGGGGUGAAAUCCCGCGGCUCAACCGUGGAACUGCCUCAGAUACUGACGGCCUCGAGGGAGGUAGGGGCGUGCGGAACUGUAGGUGGAGCGGUGAAAUGCGUUGAUAUCUACAGGAACUCCGGUGGCGAAAGCGGCGCGCUGGACCUCUUCUGACGCUGAGGCGCGAAAGCUAGGGGAGCAAACGGGAUUAGAUACCCCGGUAGUCCUAGCCCUAAACGAUGGGUACUAGGUAGUAGACUAGAUAUGGGUUUACUGCCGAAGCUAAAGUGCUAAGUACCCCGCCUGGGGAGUAUGGUCGCAAGG